GUUUGCACUCAUCGGGGAAGGGUGAGAACCUUCGACUAAGGUUCGAUUCGAGCGAAAGCGAGAGAACGUUGCCACAGGCAACGGCCCGAAAGGUGAGGAGCGAAGCGACGAAUAAUCCUUCCCCCACCACCA
rnacentral:sRNA from 1 species